AGUCUGGUGCCAGCAGCCGCGGUAAUUCCAGCUCUAAUAGUGUAUAUUAAAGUUGUUGCAGUUAAAAAGCUCGUAGUUGAACUUCUGAUUGUUGCUAGUGUUAGCCUUGAGUUAUGCUAGCGGCGAUCAUCCGUCUGCGAGACGUAUUCGUCCUUCACUGGUCGGUGCGUGGAGUAGACAAUUUACCUUGAAAAAAUUAGAGUGUUUCAGGCAGGCCUGUGCCGGAAUACAUUAGCAUGGAAUAAUGGAAUAGGACUCGUCCAUUUUGUUGGUUAUUGGAGCCGAGUAAUGAUUAAUAGGGACAGUUGGGGGCAUUAGUAUUUAAUUGUCAGAGGUGAAAUUCUUGGAUUUAUUAAAGACUAACUUAUGCGAAAGCAUUUGCCAAGGAUGUUUUCAUUAAUCAAGAACGAAAGUUAGGGGAUCAAAGACGAUCAGAUACCGUCCUAGUCUUAACUAUAUACUAUACCGACUCGGGAUCGGCAGGGCAUUUUACCUCUGUCGGCACCGUAUGAGAAAUCAAAGUCUUUAGGUUCUGGGGGGAGUAUGGUCGCAAGGCUGAAACUUAAAGGAAUUGACGGAAGGACACACCAGGUGUGGAGCCUGCGGCUUAAUUUGACACAACACGGGGAAACUUACCAGGUUAAAACAUCGUUGGGAUUGACAGAUUGAGAGCUCUUUCUUGAUUCGAUGGGUGGUGGUGCAUGGCCGUUCUUAGUUGGUGGAGUGAUUUGUCUGGUUAAUUCCGUUAACGAACGAGACCUUAACCUGCUAACUAGUUCUCUGGUUAAUCACUGGAGCAACUUCUUAGAGGGACUAUGGGAUUGAAGCCCAUGGAAGUUUGAGGCAAUAACAGGUCUGUGAUGCCCUUAGAUAUCCUGGGCCGCACGCGCGCUACAAUGACACUCUCAGAAAGUUCUAUCCUGGUCCGGAAGGAUUCGGGUAAUCUUUUUAGUAGGUGUCGUGUUAGGGAUCGAUCUUUGGAAUUAUAGAUCUUGAACGAGGAAUAUCUAGUAUGUGCAAGUCAUCAGCUUGUACAGAUUAUGUCCCUGUCUUUUGUACACACCGCCCGUCGCUGCUACCGAUCGAGUGAUCCGGUGAACCUUUUGGAUUGAAAGCUGUCUCGUGCAACUUUUGAGAAGCUAAGUAAACCUUAUCACUUAGAGGAAGCAGAAGUCGUAACAAGGUU
rnacentral:rRNA from 1 species